rnacentral:rRNA from 1 species
UACGGGGGUGGCAAGCGUUGUUCGGAAUUACUGGGCGUAAAGGGCGCGUAGGCGGGGAGGUAAGUCGGGUGUGAAAUCCCUCGGCUCAACCGAGGAACUGCGCCCGAGACUGCCUUUCUUGAGUCCCGGAGAGGAAGGUGGAAUUCCCGGUGUAGCGGUGAAAUGUGUAGAGAUCGGGAGGAACACCGGUGGCGAAGGCAGCUCUCUGGGACGGUACUGACGCUGAGACGCGAAAGCGUGGGGAGCGAACGAGG